rnacentral:rRNA from 1 species
GAUGAACGCUGGCGGCGUGCCUAAUACAUGCAAGUAGAACGCUGACGCUUGGUGCUUGCACCGAGCGGAUGAGCUGCGAACGGGUGAGUAACGCGUAGGUAACCUGCCUCUUAGCGGGGGAUAACUAUUGGAAACGAUAGAUAAUACCGCAUAAUAGUCGCUAUCGCAUGAUACUGAUUUGAAAGGUGCAAUUGCAUCACUAAGAGAUGGACCUGCGUUGUAUUAGCUAGUGGGUGAGGUAACGGCUCACCAAGGCGACGAUACAUAGCCGACGUGAGAGGGUGAGCGGCCACACAGGGAAUGAGACACAGCCCAGACUCUUCCAGGAGGCAGAAGUGUGGAAUCUACGGGAAAGGGGGCAACCGUGUCCGAGCAACACAACGCGUGUGAAGAAGGUUUUCGGAUCGUAAAGCUCUGUUGUAAUAGAAAAGCGAAUGAGCGAGUUGAAAGUUCACUCUUUGACGGGAACUUACCAGAAAGGGACGGGUAACUACGUG